UCACGUCACGUCUUCCUCCUAGACUCCGAAGGCUGAAGGACGGACUGGAUGACCAGAUUCAUAUUGCCGGCUAUAGUGCGGUCCCGGAUAUUCCCUUGGGCGUACAUGUGUACGAGGCUCCGAGAACGACUACCACUUUUCCCCUACCCGGAGAUCACCAGCACCUUCGACCGGCACCAUCUUGGUGCAUUCCCCUGUCUCGUUUGGAACCUUCAAUAAAAGUACCCUCCGGGGCCGUUUAUUGUACCUGUUGUGUCCGUGUCGUUGUUCUCCCCGUGAAAAUAUAUAUCCUGUGUUUUGGUUUAUAUGAUGCUGGAUUCUUCAAACUGUUUUCUUCAUCUCAACAGAUCAACAAAACAUGGAGUGAAAGACAAAAGAAAAAUGGAGGAAUCUGAUUUAAUGACAGGUGGAGUCAAACUGUUCUACAUGUUGACUGGAAAAACAAAUAACUCUCAUAAAAGUUUUGUUGACUCUCUGAUGAACCAAGUGGAAGAUCUGAGAGAAGUUCCUACGGUGGAUGAGAGUGAAAUUGUUUUGGUUUUCUGUCCUAUUGUUUAUCGAGCUGGAACUGAUAUUGAAGCAGCACUGAAAGUAUUUACAGAAGAUAUUUGAUGACUCCACAGCUUCUAUGAUGAAAGUUCUAGUGGUGCUACAUCACACGUUUGACACAGAGAAAACUGUACCAGACAGCAGCAGAUGUGUCAACAGGACAGAUAUACUGACAGUGGACUGUCUGUUCUAUGAAGACACAGGAUUACUAAAGUGUCAGAAAAAUGAUGAUGCAAUCGACAAAGUUGUGAACUGGUUAAUACAGCAGGUAUUUACAAUAAUGCUCUAAAUAUUUUUAAAAGGUUGCACUAAAAUGUACUGUAUCAUUUAAAAACAACAGGUCACUGUUUUCUCAGAAAUUUCAACUUGUUCUCCACAGGGGGAGACAGAGGGAGUUAAAGUUUGUCCAUGUCAAAGUAUGUUACUUUUUUCUCAAUAAUCUGUAAAAUUUAAGCACAGUUAAGCCAUUUAUCAUUUUUUCCUUAAGGUAAUGAUAUAUAGGAUCUCUGUGUUUUCUCUGCUGUACCAUUUAUUGAUCAGUGCCACAAAUUUUCAAACUGUAUUAUUUGAAACAGACAAGUCAUAUUUCAGCAGAGCAUAACAUUGGCCAGAUUUUACAAAGGUAAACACACUUGCUUAAUACUGAAAUCUAUUAUGUAGGUAUAUUAUAGAAAAAAAGGUUUUGUAAGUUCAGAGUUUGGGUUAAGAAGUGAUGUGAAUAGUGUAAGGAUAUGACUUACUGUAAAUCGUCAAAAAUAUAAAAUUGCAAUUCUGUGUCGCUAGCAAUGUAUUAUGUGUUUCUAAACGGAUGAUGUUGGGACUCCUGGUGUUCUAAUAUGUAUUUACAGUAUUACAAGUAUUUGAAAUUGUCAUGGUAAUGUUUUGUUCUUUUUUGGUUUUAUUUAAGUUUCAUUAUGUUCCUUAGGUUAUCUGUUCGUUGCUUAAUUUGAUUCCAUUAGAAGUUAUUCCUAAUAUGUUAUUCAGCCCCUCCUCUGUUUCCUUGAUGCCCUUUUAUAAUUAAUUUUCCUUCUACAUACUGUACGUCCGAUGUCUGUUCUGGUUUUGUUUUGGUCAGUGUGCCUGCUUUGUUUUUCCAGCGUUCCUGUGUUUCUUUAGUCAAAAAUAGAUUUUAGGAUUAUCGUUCUUCCUUUUCUUGGGGAUUAUACACACAGCUGUUACAGAAACAAACUUCAUACAGAUUUGUGUUGCUUGGCAGAAGAAACACUGAGUUCCUGCAAUGGCCGAGUAAACAAAAGUGUCACGUAUCUCAGUUGUUAAAAUGACGCCGUAAUUUUUCUCCACAGUGGAUGAAACCAGAAUCUUCAAGGGGUAAUCAUUAAGGAUGGUUGUACAGAACAACAUGGAGGUUUAGGAAUAAUCUUUUGUUACACCAUCAUUCAGAAGAUCCUGUGACUGACAGCUAUGUAAAUCAACUCACUCUACAGCUGAGAUCAACAUUAGUCAACACAUAUUAGCUGCUUGUUGUGAUUCACACAUGCCAAGUACUGAUAUCUACUAUGAGCCUGUUCUUACCAACCACAGCACCUUAUUGUGUACAUGUGAUUUAAUUGGUUGUGGUGCAAAAGGUUGUGGGUUCAAGUCCCAGGGAACACACACAGCCUAAUCGAAAAAUGUAUAAAUUGAAUGUACUGAAAUUAAGGA